rnacentral:snRNA from 10 species
AUUGGAAUGUGUUAAUAUGCUAAAAAAUUGGAAAGAUACAGAGAAGAUUAGCACGGCCACUGUGCAAGGAUGACACACAAAA